rnacentral:rRNA from 1 species
UGCAGUCGAACGGCAGCACAGGAGAGCUUGCUCUCUGGGUGGCGAGUGGCGGACGGGUGAGGAAUACAUCGGAAUCUACUCUGUCGUGGGGGAUAACGUAGGGAAACUUACGCUAAUACCGCAUACGACCUACGGGUGAAAGCAGGGGAUCUUCGGACCUUGCGCGAUUGAAUGAGCCGAUGUCGGAUUAGCUAGUUGGCGGGGUAAAGGCCCACCAAGGCGACGAUCCGUAGCUGGUCUGAGAGGAUGAUCAGCCACACUGGAACUGAGACACGGUCCAGACUCCUACGGGAGGCAGCAGUGGGGAAUAUUGGACAAUGGGCGCAAGCCUGAUCCAGCCAUACCGCGUGGGUGAAGAAGGCCUUCGGGUUGUAAAGCCCUUUUGUUGGGAAAGAAAUCCAGCCGGCUAAUACCUGGUUGGGAUGACGGUACCCAAAGAAUAAGCACCGGCUAACUUCG